GAUGAACGCUGGCGGCGUGCCUAAUACAUGCAAGUCGAGCGAACAGACGAGGAGCUUGCUCCUCUGACGUUAGCGGCGGACGGGUGAGUAACACGUGGAUAACCUACCUAUAAGACUGGGAUAACUUCGGGAAACCGGAGCUAAUACCGGAUAAUAUAUUGAACCGCAUGGUUCGAUAGUGAAAGACGGUUUUGCUGUCACUUAUAGAUGGAUCCGCGCCGCAUUAGCUAGUUGGUAAGUUAACGGCUUACCAAGGCGACGAUGCGUAGCCGACCUGAGAGGGUGAUCGGCCACCCUGGAACUGAGACGCGGUCCAGACUCCUACGGGAGGCAGCAGUAGGGAAUCUUCCGCAAUGGGCGAAAGCCUGACGGAGCAGCGCCGCGUGAGUGAUGAAGGUCUUCGGAUCGUAAAACUCUGUUAUUAGGGAAGAACAAAUGUGUAAGUAACUAUGCACGUCUUGACGGUACCUAAUCAGAAAGCCACGGCUAACUACGUG
rnacentral:rRNA from 1 species